rnacentral:rRNA from 1 species
UAUAUUAUUUAUUUAAUGUUAUUUAUUAUUUAUGUAUUUAAAUUAUAGAAAUAACUUUUAUUUUAGUAUUUUUUAAAGAAUAAAUUUCUUUUAUUUAUAUUUUAUUUUACUGUAAAGGUUUAUAUUAAUUAUAAUUAAAGUAGAUUUUAAUUUUUGUACCUUUUGCAUCAGGGUUUAUUUAUAUCUUUUUAUUUAUUUUAAAAUUCCCGAAAUUAAAAGAGAUAUUAUUAAUUGUUAUUUAAUGUUUAAAAAUUAUUAAUUAAUUAAUGAUAGAAGUUAUAUGCUAUUCAUUUUUACAUAUCUGGUUUCUUAAUAAUUGAAUUAAAUUCAGAAUUAAUUAAUUUUAAUAUAUAACUUUAUUUAUAUUAAAUGUAUUAAUUUAAAAAUAUAGGGGAUAAGCUCUAUGUUUUUUUUAUAAUUAUUUAAAUUUAUAUGGAAUUUUUGUAGGAUUAGAAAUUUUCAUCAUUUAUUUUGUUAUAAUAAUAUUUUAUGUAUUGUUUAUUUAAAAUAAAUUUAAAUUUUUAUUAAGAUUUAUUAAUAAAUUAAAUAUUAAUAGUUAUAAUGAUAUAAUUAGUAAAGUUUUAAAUUAAUAUAUAGUAAUUCGGCAAAUUUGUUUUUCACCUGUUUAACAAAAACAUGUCUUAAUGUUAAUUUAUACUAAGUCUGGCCUGCUCAAUGAUUAAUUUAAGGAUUAAAUAGCCGCAGUAUUUUGACUGUGCGAAGGUAGCAUAAUCAUUUGUCCUUUAAUUGAGGGCUUGUAUGAAUGGUUUAAUGAGGGAACAACUUUCUUUAUAUUAAAGGUUGAAUUUAAUCUUUUGGUUAAAAAGCUAAAAUUUUUAAAUGGGACGAGAAGACCCUAUAGAAUUUUAUUUUUAUUUUUAUAAUUAAAAUUAUUUGUUAAUAUUAUUUUUUUUGUAGUAUAAAAAUUUUAUUGGGGUGAUAUUGAAAUUUUUUUAACUUUCAUAAUAAAUAUUUUAUAAAUUUAUAUAUAUAUUAGGAUCCUAUUUUACGGAUAUUUAGAUUAAAUUACCUUAGGGAUAACAGCGUAAUUUUUCUGGAGAGUUCUUAUCGAUGGAAAAGUUUGCGACCUCGAUGUUGGAUUAAAAUUAGAUUUAAGUGCAGAAGCUUAUAAUUCUAGGUCUGUUCGACCUUUAAAAUUUUACAUGAUCUGAGUUCAGACCGGCGUAAGCCAGGUCGGUUUCUAUCUUUUUAUUUAUAUAUGUGGAUUAGUACGAAAGGACCAUUCAGAUCAAAUAUUUUGUUAAUAGUUGAAUACAUUU